rnacentral:tRNA from 2 species
GCGAGGUUGGCGGAACUGGUAGACGCAUCGGACUUAAAAUCCGACGACUCAGGUCAUGCGGGUUCGAUUCCCGCACCUCGCACCA